ACAGAAUGACUUCUUCUGCAGUUCCUCUCUGACUUCCAUCACUUUCUCCCUUUCUCUCUGCCUGUCCAGUAUCUCCCUUACCAAUGCUGAGCUUGGACUGA